GGCUUUGGAUGCCCUGAUGCUAACCCUAUAAAGUUCUGUAACCAAGAGGCAGAAAGAUCGCAGUAGGCCCCACAUGAAGAUAAGUACUGGCCUGUUCCUAAGAGGGGGCUGAGCAGGUUUCAGUCUUUCUUAUGCCUUCGGUAGAGGCCCUGGGGAAGGGACCGACUGAAUAACCUACACAGCAGUCCUACAUGCUAUAUAAGAAAAGUCUUGGCGGUCCUGAGCCUGUUCACCCAGACUCUAACUUGAGCACAUGUGCAAAGCCAGGACACACCAUUCUGAGAGAGUUACUUGGACACUCACACUCCCAAGAGGUCUUUACAUGUACCUGGACUGAUCCCUUCUAGAUGGUGGCUGGCCUUCAAAGACAAGCUCAAAGCUUAAAAAUGGUGGCUUGGUUCUAUCUCAGAGGUCAGCAAACUGCAGUCUGCAAGCCAAGCCUAGCUGCUGUCUGACACUGCACAGGCCGUGAACUUAAGAAUGGAGUUUACGUGGACAUAUGGCUAUGGUGAAGGUGCAGCAAUCAGAGGAAUCAUAAGGCCUGACAAGAAAAUUAAAAGAGAAUCAAAUGCCAACAUCCAUAAAUAAAAGUUUGCUGAAACACA